rnacentral:tRNA from 1 species
GUAGCUCAGCUGGAUAGAGCAACGCCCUUCUAAGGCGUGGGCCAGGGGUUCGAAUCCCUUAAGACGCACCA